rnacentral:rRNA from 2 species
ACAACUCUUAGCGGUGGAUCACUCGGCUCAUGCGU